UCAGGGUAGCUCAGCUGGUAGAGCAGAGGACUGAAAAUC
rnacentral:tRNA from 1 species